rnacentral:lncRNA from 1 species
CUGAGGCAGGAGGAUCUCCAGGGUGGUCAUCCCAGAGUGGGGCCCGACGGGAGGCCCCAGAGUCGAGUCCCUCCCGGAGGGGCGGGGCGGGGCGGCGGCCACAAGUGCACUCACGGUAAUCGGAGACCCAGCGCUGCAUGGAGAGGAGAGGGCGCGAGCCGUUGUGGAUGGAGAAGUCCAGGACCCUGUCGGCCCCUUCCAGGAGGCACCCGGCCGUGUGGCCGCCCUGGACCAGGUAGGUGGUGCACGGCGCGUACGCCCGGUCGUCCCGGAACCUGGGGGAGGAUGGGAUCGCGGUGUCGUCCUCACCGGAGGCCGACGGCCACUGCUGUGUCCCACACCCCACGGUGGACCGGGGUGGCCGCGUCCCCCUCGCGCCCCACGACCCCAUAAGGACAGAGAGGAGGACACACACGCAGAGGAGACCACGGAGACGGAAGGAGAGACUGGAGCAGGCAGAGGCAGGAGGGUCUCCCCGGAGCCUGCGCAGGCGGAGCCGGUCCCGAGCCUCAACCUCACGUUCGACCCGAGGUCCAGGGAGCUGAGCUGGGACUGCCUGGAAAACACCACCGACGUCCUCUGCACCAUGGUUCACCGGGAGAUGGGCCCCAUUGGGAUAAAGGUGGGGUCGGCCUGUGCCCGUUCAGAGACACGGCCACGGCCAGCGUGAGCAUCCGUGUCCCGGGCGACUCGGCGGUGGCCCUUUUCAGGGCUGCAUAGUGCUCCGCGGUGUGUCACACAUCCCCUUAACCGAACGGACACCGAGGCCGAAUCUAAGAUUUAGCCAUCGUGACUUCUGUUUUCGAAGCACGGGUGUGCGUGGGUCCCAGUAAUAUGACGUCUUCCCUCCUCCUUUUUCCACCUCCCUGCCUUGCCCGUCCUCCACCUUCCCCCUCCGUCCGCCCCUUUCUGUCUUUCCUUCCCCGCUGCCUCCUUUCAUUUUAUCCAUUCGAGGGCCGGGGGUUGAGCUCGGUGUCGCCGCGCACCUACCUCGUAAGCACGAGGUCCUGAGUUCGAUCCCUGGUGCCACCAAAAAAACAGUCCUUUGAGGCAGGGCCUCUCAGUCCCUCCGUGGCCCACACGGAGAGAGAACUCGAGGCUCUCCCGCCUCAGCCUCCCAGAGUGCAGGGCUGAGGUGACGGCCCGAGCCGUGGCCACGCCCGUCUUCCCCUGGGAAGCUGCUCCAGGGCUGCCACGACGUUUGCCCCCAAAGUGGGUUUGUGGGGGCCCCUCUGGGGUGCGUGAGGGAAGAAGGCGGGGCGGACUCGGGGAGGCGGGCGGCGUCGCGUGAGAACAAAGCCCAGAAGUCGGCGGAGAGGAGGAGGAGGGUUUGCCGAUCGGCUGUGUGACCGUUUCAGCUCCGGGGGGA